rnacentral:rRNA from 1 species
CAGUCGCGCGGUAAUACGUAGGUGGCAAGCGUUGUCCGGAAUUAUUGGGCGUAAAGGGCUCGCAGGCGGUUUCUUAAGUCUGAUGUGAAAGCCCCCGGCUCAACCGGGGAGGGUCAUUGGAAACUGGGAAACUUGAGUGCAGAAGAGGAGAGUGGAAUUCCACGUGUAGCGGUGGAAUGCGUAGAGAUGUGGAGGAACACCAGUGGCGAAGGCGACUCUCUGGUCUGUAACUGACGCUGAGGAGCGAAAGCGUGGGGAGCGAACAGGAUUAGAUACCCGCGUAGUCCCUGUCUCUUAUACA